rnacentral:rRNA from 1 species
GACGAACGCUGGCGGCGUGCCUAAUACAUGCAAGUUGAGCGCUGAAGGUUGGUACUUGUACCAACUGGAUGAGCAGCGAACGGGUGAGUAACGCGUGGGGAAUCUGCCUUUGAGCGGGGGACAACAUUUGGAAACGAAUGCUAAUACCGCAUAAAAACUUUAAACACAAGUUUUAAGUGUGAAAGAUGCAAUUGCAUCACUCAAAGAUGAUCCCGCGUUGUAUUAGCUAGUUGGUGAGGUAAAGGCUCACCAAGGCGAUGAUACAUAGCCGACCUGAGAGGGUGAUCGGCCACAUUGGGACUGAGACACGGCCCAAACUCCUACGGGAGGCAGCAGUAGGGAAUCUUCGGCAAUGGACGGAAGUCUGACCGAGCAACGCCGCGUGAGUGAAGAAGGUUUUCGGAUCGUAAAACUCUGUUGGUAGAGAAGAACGUUGGUGAGAGUGGAAAGCUCAUCAAGUGACGGUAACUACCCAGAAAGGGACGGCUAACUACGUG